UACGGAGGGUGCAAGCGUUAUCCGGAUUCACUGGGUUUAAAGGGUGCGUAGGUGGGUUGGUAAGUCAGUGGUGAAAUCUCCGAGCUUAACUUGGAAACUGCCAUUGAUACUAUCAGUCUUGAAUAUUGUGGAGGUCAGCGGAAUAUGUCAUGUAGCGGUGAAAUGCUUAGAUAUGACAUAGAACACCAAUUGCGAAGGCAGCUGGCUACACAUAUAUUGACACUGAGGCACGAAAGCGUGGGGAGCGAACAGG
rnacentral:rRNA from 1 species